rnacentral:rRNA from 1 species
GACGAACGCUGGCGGCGUGCUUAACACAUGCAAGUCGAACGAUGGAGGAGAGCUUGCUCUCCGGAUUAGUGGCGAACGGGUGAGUAACACGUGACUAACCUGCCCCUUUCUCUGGGAUACGCUCCGAAAGGAGUGCUAAUACCGGAUACGAACUCUGAACACAUGUUCGGAGUUGGAAAGUUUUUCGGAAAGGGAUGGAGUCGCGGCCUAUCAGCUUGUUGGUGAGGUAACGGCUCACCAAGGCGACGACGGGUAGCCGGCCUGAGAGGGCGACCGGCCACACUGGGACUGAGACACGGCCCAGACUCCUACGGGAGGCAGCAGUGGGGAAUAUUGCACAAUGGGCGAAAGCCUGAUGCGGUGACGCCGCGUGAGGGAUGAAGGUCUUCGGAUUGUAAACCUCUUUCAGUAGGGACGAAGCGAAAGUGACGGUACCUAAAGAAGAAGCACCGGCUAACUACGUGCCAGCAGCCGCCGUAA